UGGGCAACCUGCCCUCAGCUCUGGGAUAACUCCAAGAAAUUGGGGCUAAUACCGGAUAUGACUGCUGACCGCAUGGUCUGGUGGUGGAAAGAUUUAUCGGCUGGGGAUGGGCCCGCGGCCUAUCAGCUUGUUGGUGGGGUAGUGGCCUACCGAACGGC
rnacentral:rRNA from 1 species